GGCUCUCUCAAAGUCAGGCUUCAGGGAUCCAGACUCCGUGUAUCUUGUGGCUCUACCACCUUCAACUUGUGAUUGUUAAGGUCACAAUCCUCACUUGCAUCAAGGUGGUGAAUGUUGCAAGAACAUGACGGACAGCUAGUGGGAGGUUUUGCAGAUCAGGUUGGGAGCUGGCAUGCAUCACUUGUCACAUUUUGUCGGCUGGAAGUCAAGCACGUGGGCAUGUGUAACUGCAAGGACGGAUGGGAAAUGUCUCCGAGCUUUGUGCCCUGAAGAACAAGGACAGCCUUUUUAUUAAAGAAAUGAAGGAACACUGAUCUGCCUCUGAGUUCAGGAAGAGCUGGCGUUCAGGAGGCAGGUCCUGGCACAGCGGUAUUGGAUGUCCAGAGCUGUGAGCCAUUCCAAUUGGAUCCAAUGUGUAUCAAUAAAUAUUAAGAAAUAAUUGACAAAUAUUUUGAACAUCACCCCUGACUGAGGCUUCCAACAUCAACCACUAACUCCCAUGCAAUAAAGGGAAGAACUGAUAGACUAUUCUGUAGGAUGCAUAAAUACCUCAGGAAAACUCAAAGACAAGGAUAAGGUCAUGACUAACCCAGAAAAGAAAACUUUGUGUUGUCAAGACCUCUGUUACAAGACUCUGCCCCAAGAUUCUUCAAAAAAUGUCAAAGCCACACUUAGCUCCUUGGAAACGAGAGUCCCUAACAAAGGAUUUGCUAGUGAUUGCUGGCAGAAGGUAGGUCACAACUGGUCUUGCAACUCAUAAUAAUCCCAAGCACUGCACUCUGAAUAAGAAAUUACAGUAUAUUCAGAACAAAUAUUUCUUUAUUAGUUAAUCUCUUUGUGGUAAAGAACCAAGAAGGACAUAGAUUUUAUUUUCAAUUUCAAGAUAGAAAAGUAAAC
rnacentral:lncRNA from 1 species